UACAAUCAUCAUUUUGGUCUUACUGCGA
rnacentral:piRNA from 1 species